UUGAGUUAUUUAUUUUUCUCUCGAGGAAAAGCUUAUAUAAGAUAUUGUUUGUAUUAAACAAAAAAAAACACAGUAUAUUUAUUAUUCAUCUCUUCCUCCAUAGCUUUUUGAAACCAUGAAUUACAAAGCAUUUACUUUGAUAUCGUUUGUAUUAUUUUUUUGUCAAUCAUCGAUAAUGGCUUCUCGAAGAAUAUUAUCAGGUCCGGGAAGUUGUAAAAUGCCAGCACUACCUCAUCGUCCUCCAUCAGCUGGAUCAGCAACUCCCAAAUCAUCGCCCCAGUAUGGUGGAAUUCCAAUGCGACCUCAUACCUCUAAACCAGAACAUUUUGCAACUAAUCAACACCCACUACCUGGUAAGAAUAAAUUCUCUCCAAUAUAUAGCUUUCUAAUUUUUAUUUUUUUUUCACUCGAUAUUUCGUAUUUAUAUUAAAAUUUGAUUAAAUAUGAAUUCACAUAUUUAUAAUUUUAUUCUUUUCCUAUAGUUCGCCAAUAACUGAAAGGAUCGGAUAAGACGGGACGGAAGUGAAAUAUUUUUAAAAAAGUAAAAAACAUAUAUAUAUUAAUUUAAAUAUAAAACUACUAAUUAAAAAUCAAAAGAUUUUAUGAGUAAUUUUUUUCGUAAGAAGAUAUAUCACAUAUGAGCAGGGAUCGGAAUUAAGUGGGGUUCGUAGAUCUCUCUCUCUCUCUCUAU